UACGGGGGGAGCAAGCGUUGUUCGGAUUUACUGGGCGUAAAGGGCGCGUAGGCGGUCAGCACAAGUCAGUUGUGAAAUCUCCGGGCUUAACCCGGAGCGGCCAAGUGAUACUGUCGUGCUAGAGUGCGGAAGGGGCUACUGGAAUUCUCGGUGUAGCGGUGAAAUGCGUAGAUAUCGAGAGGAACACCUGCGGCGAAGGCGGGUAGCUGGGCCGACACUGACGCUGAGGCGCGAAGGCCAGGGGAGCAAACGGG
rnacentral:rRNA from 1 species